rnacentral:rRNA from 1 species
ACCUAAUAGAUACCCCGGUAGUCCACGCCCUAAACGAUGCGAACUGGAUGUUGGGUACAUUACGGUACUCAGUGUCGAAAGCUAAACGCGUUAAGUUCGCCGCCUGGGGAGUACGGUCGCAAGACUGAAACUCAAAGGAAUUGACGGGGGCCCGGCACAAGCGGUGGAGUAUGUGGUUUAAUUCGAUGCAACGCGAAGAACCUUACCUGGCCUUGACAUCUGUCGAAUCCUGCAGAGAUGCGGGAGUGCCGCAAGGAACGACAAGACAGGUGCUGCAUGGCUGUCGUCAGCUCGUGUCGUGAGAUGUUGGGUUAAGUCCCGCAACGAGCGCAACCCUUGUCCCUAGUUGCCAGCACAUCAUGGUGGGAACUCUAGGGAGACUGCCGGUGACAAACCGGAGGAAGGUGGGGAUGACGUCAAGUCCUCAU